rnacentral:rRNA from 2 species
AUACCCGUUUGCAUGUACUUUAUGAAUAAGGAUCGGCUAACUCCGUGCCAGCAGCCGCGGUAAUACGGAGGAUCCGAGCGUUAUCCGGAUUUAUUGGGUUUAAAGGGAGCGUAGAUGGAUGUUUAAGUCAGUUGUGAAAGUUUGCGGCUCAACCGUAAAAUUGCAGUUGAUACUGGAUAUCUUGAGUGCAGUUGAGGCAGGCGGAAUUCGUGGUGUAGCGGUGAAAUGCUUAGAUAUCACGAAGAACUCCGAUUGCGAAGGCAGCCUGCUAAGCUGCAACUGACAUUGAGGCUCGAAAGUGUGGGUAUCAAACAGGAUUAGAUACCCUGGUAGUCCACACGGUAAACGAUGAAUACUCGCUGUUUGCGAUAUACGGCAAGCGGCCAAGCGAAAGCGUUAAGUAUUCCACCUGGGGAGUACGCCGGCAACGGUGAAACUCAAAGGAAUUGACGGGGGCCCGCACAAGCGGAGGAACAUGUGGUUUAAUUCGAUGAUACGCGAGGAACCUUACCCGGGCUUAAAUUGCAGAUGAAUUACGGUGAAAGCCGUAAGCCGCAAGGCAUCUGUGAAGGUGCUGCAUGGUUGUCGUCAGCUCGUGCCGUGAGGUGUCGGCUUAAGUGCCAUAACGAGCGCAACCCUUGUUGUCAGUUACUAACAGGUUCUGCUGAGGACUCUGACAAGACUGCCAUCGUAAGAUGUGAGGAAGGUGGGGAUGACGUCAAAUCAGCACGGCCCUUACGUCCGGGGCUACACACGUGUUACAAUGGGGGGUACAGAGGGCCGCUACCACGCGAGUGGAUGCCAAUCCCAAAAACCUCUCUCAGUUCGGACUGGAGUCUGCAACCCGACUCCACGAAGCUGGAUUCGCUAGUAAUCGCGCAUCAGCCACGGCGCGGUGAAUACGUUCCCGGGCCUUGUACACACCGCCCGUCAAGCCAUGGGAGCCGGGGGUACCUGAAGUGCGUAACCGCGAGGAGCGCCCUAGGGUAAAACUGGUGACUGGGGCUAAGUCGUAACAAGGUAGCCGUACCGGAAGGUGCGGCUGGAACACCU